rnacentral:hammerhead_ribozyme from 1 species
AUAAGUAGACGAGUCCCAAACAGGACGAAACGCGCGUCCUGGAU